ACGGACUACCGGGGUUUCUAAUCCCGUUUGCUCCCCUAGCUUUCGUUCCUCAGCGUCAGAAAAGACCCAGUGAGCCGCCUUCGCCUCUGGUGUUCCUGUUGAUAUCAACGCAUUUCACCGCUCCACCAACAGUUCCGCUCACCCCUAUCUUCCUCAAGCCAUGUGGUUUGAAACGCAAUUCCUCGGUUGAGACGAGGGAUUUCACAUCUCACCUACACGGCCGCCUACGAACUCUUUAAGCCCAGUGAUUCCGAAUAACGUUUGUACAGUUCGUCUUACCGCGGCUGCUGGCACG
rnacentral:misc_RNA from 1 species